CCUACGGGAGGCAGCAGUCGAGAAUCAUUCACAAUGGGGGAAACCCUGAUGGUGCGACGCCGCGUGGGGGAAUGAAGGUCUUCGGAUUGUAAACCCCUGUCAUGUGGGAGCAAAUUAAAAAGAUAGUACCACAAGAGGAAGAGACGGCUAACUCUGUGCCAGCAGCCGCGGUAAUACAGAGGUCUCAAGCGUUGUUCGGAAUCACGGGGCGUAAAGCGUGCGUAGGCUGGUUCGUCAGUCGUGUGGGAAUGGCGCGGACUCAACCCGCGGACGGCACAUGAUACUGCGAGACUAGAGUAAUGGAGGGGGAACCGGAAUUCUCGGUGUAGCAGUGAAAUGCGUAGAUAGCGAGAGGAACACUCGUGGCGAAGGCGGGUUCCUGGACAUUAACUGACGCUGAGGCACGAAGGCCAGGGGAGCGAAAGGGAUUAGAUACCCGAGUAGUC
rnacentral:rRNA from 1 species